rnacentral:lncRNA from 1 species
UACAUUCUUUUGCUGUUUCGCUGUUGCUGAAUGAAUGACUGAAUGAAAGCAUCUCCCAAGGCUGCCUGCUUGCUUACCUUCUCACAUGAUGCUUCUUUGCCUCUCUGUUCCUUAAGGAGCUUUCCCUCCCUUCUUUCUUGCCCCACAGUCCCCAAACUCACCAGUGUGGGCAGAAGGAGAAAAGGAAUGUUCUAUCCAGCCCCAUACCCCAGCACCUGCUGGGCAACUUUGUCUUCCCUUCUGCAAAAGAAAAGAAGUCCCCUCAAACACAGGAGAGGAUGGGAAAAGGCAUCUCUCUAAGCAGUAACCCUGGCAGGGCCCUUCAGGAUUCCCAAAUUCCCAAUUUAUAGACAGGGAAACUGAUCCCUAGAGAAGGGAAGGGACUUGCCCAUGUCCACACAGCAUGUUAGUGGGACACAUCAUGAAACAUAAAAGCAGGAAGAGGGUCUAGAAACCAUCUAGCCCUACCCCCUCAUUUAGAGAAAGGAAAACCGAGGCCCAGAGAGGGAGAGUUAGUGACAGAGCCACAACAAGAACUCAGAAGAGGGUCAGCUGGUGUGCAACCAGCUCAGUGACACAAAAGCCUGUGCUAGGGAUUUAAUGUUCUACUGUCGUGUCUUGAAAUUCUUCAUAUCUUAUCUGUAAAUGUGUAGUUUGUAAAUGAAGUCUGUGAGAUAACACAGCAGGCACCCAGGCCAACAGCCUCAGUUCAAGUGCAGUCCGGCCCCUCCCUCACCAGGUGGGUUCUCAGUGCCAGCUUCCCCAACCCCCUGCUAUCUCCUCCUCACAUCCCUUCUUCUCUCUCUUCCCCCCAACAGCUGCCAGUCUGCUAUCUGCAGGGCACUGGCACGGGAGGCUGAGCAUGCACAUCCCACAGCAUUUGGGUAGGACACGACUGCAGCCAUGCCUGCCCUAGAGGUUGAUGACAUCGUGGUGCCUUCAAGGGGGGAAACUGGCAGGGCAAGCCUUUCCCCUAUGCUAGAGCCUCUGACAUGGAGGUUGCAAGAUGUGGGGGUACCUGUCCACCAUGGAUUGGGGUGAAGGGCCUGUGGGAAAGGAGGAUGCCUGGCUUCCCUUCUCCGGGUCCUCUUGCCUCAGUGUAGGGGACCUGGCAGCAGAUGGGCACUGGUGGGCCACACUGCAGGGGAAGGCUCCUGGGUGCCUUGAGGGCCUCCGUGCUCCUCUCCAGUAGCUCCAUGCCCAAGGUAGCAUAGCAUUAAAUAGCAAAUACACAGCACAAGAGGGGCCACAGAAGUGGGGUGGGGCUUUAUGUUUGGGUACCUCUCUCCUGCCUGUGGAACAAAAGGCUUGUGUUUGCAAUGUGCCCUGGGCUGUCACAUUAGGUAGCUGUCCUGACUCAGGACUUCUGUUGCUCUGGCCACCAGCCCCCAGCACUCAGCACCGCUGGACAACACCGGUGUAUUCACGUUCAGUCUAGUGCGUUCCCGGCCCUGUGCUGGGCCUCUUUUCCCUGUUUUCUUGUUUGCAGCCUUGUCGUAACUGAGUGAGGUGUGCACUAUUAUUAGACUCAUUUUACAGGUGAGGAAAGACAGCUGCCCAUAGGCUGAGUUAACUUGUCCACGUCCUCCACCAGGGAAGCAAGAGAGCCAAGCUCCCCACCCAGGUGGCCUGGUGCUCCUGUCCUGGCCCGACAUGCGGGCAGUCGGGCCGUCGGGAAAGGAAAGCGCAGUGUAGAGGAGCUGCUUCUCACCGCCUCUCCUCCCCUCCCCACCUUCCCCGGGAACUCAUGCCCCUCCCCUGCACUCCUGCUCCUUGCCGGCUCGCCCUGGGCCGCUCCGAAGGGAGGAGACCACGUGACCCAGGUCACCGGUAACCAGGCAACCGUUCCAAGACACUGCUUUUCAUCCACUCUGGCUUCUACCUUAUUCAAUAUCUGCCAGGCGGGCAAGGCUCCUGGGAGCAUCCCUGAAGCCAUUUCUCUGGGCCAGGAGCCAGCUGUUCCCAAAAUGGCCACGAUGCCUCAGGAGGGAGGUUGACACCCUGUGCUCUCAGAAGCAGCUCAGAGCUCAGAGGCAGACCUCUACUCAUGCAAUUCUGCCUUCUGUGCAUGCAAUGGAUUGCUGCCAUCUCCAAUCAGCCACAAUGGGAGGCCACCUGCUAGACAUGGAAGAGCCACCGGAUGGAAGAAGCCUGGGUCUCUGAAAUACUGCUUGGAGUAGACUACUCUGCCUGCAAACUAGGAGCACUGAUUUUGGACUUUUUGGGAGGGACUUCUAUGCCCUCUGCAGUUUGCCUCUUCCUCUGCUAUUUUUUCAUGUAUGUGUAUGUUUUUUGCCUGUAUUUGCAAUGCCAGCCAUCAUUUGCCAUGUCUUCUAGCGGCAACCUGCAUUUAGCCCAGAUCUGCUGUGAUUAUUCCUUUUCACAAACCACAAUGACUCUGGAAAACCUGGCUGUAAACACCAGCACUGCCACCAGCUAAGGAUCUGUGAUCAGGAGUGCCAUCUCACGGUAACAGGAAUAUGAAGUCUGAGGUUUCUGCUCUGACAAGAGGAAAUGUCUAACAGCAGAAGACAAAAGUGAAACCGGGCUGAUGCGAAUCACUGGGAAACUGGCUUUGGCACCUCCAGAGAAUGAACUGUUUCAUAGCCUAGCUGACCAUCCAUGAAAAUGGCUGCCUGGAGAGGCAGUGAUCAGCCCAUCCCUGCAGGGUGAAGAUAAGCUUGUGCAGGCCACUGGCUAACACAGUUCAUCCCAUGCCUCCUACAUACCAAGCACUGUGCCAGGCACUUUUCACGUCUGGCAUCCUCAGAAUCCUCCAAAAGGUCGGAUUCAGACAAUCCGGUGGAGCACUCUGAAAUUUAGAGGAAGUGGUCAAAUAGAAUUUUCUGGAAUUAUGGAAAUCUUCUAUUCUGUGCAUCUAGUAUAGUAGAAUCUAGUCACAUGUGGCUUUUGAGAACUGGAAAUAUGGCUAAUGCAACAGAGAAAGUGAAUUUUUACUUUUGAUUCAUUUAAAUAUAAAUGGUCACAUAUGACAUCACUGCCAUAUUGGACAUUGCAGUUCUGGAAGAUGGCAGAUGCAGCCCUCAGAAGAAUUAUCAGCCUGAAUGUCUGGGCGGAGCAGAGCACUACCUUCCCACUCACUCUUCCCCUCCUCUCGCCCCCUCCCCUGCCUCACUUGCAUCAGAUUAUGAUGUGAGCAAAAGCAGGAAACAGCUCUUUUGAUAGGCCUGUGAGACUUGCUGUUCGUUGGAGUAGCUAGGCUGCUCUGACUCAUACAGACCCAAAUCCUGGCAACCACUUUUAUGAAGAAAUGACAAUUCAGUCUACUACUUGUCCAUUUUACAUGCCCAAGGAAUGUGAGGGGCCUCUGCUUGGAUCUAGUUUUCAACCUAGUCUAUGGCAUUGAUUAUCCUUUUAAAAGACAAAAGAGGUGACUUCACGGGCACUUAACAUCUUGGCCAUACUGACCCCAGUUGCACGCUACGUAGGAAGUUUUAGUCCAUUUAAACUGAAGUUCCAAUUUUUUUUUUAACAACUAUUUAAAAAUUGUACAUGUCCCAUACAUGACAGAGAAAGGGUUGUCUGGUUGGAUGAUUUUUGGCUUGCAAAAAGAGAACACAAAAGAAAAGCAUACGUUUUAAUACUCAAGAGACCAAAUUUUCUGCUGAAGAGGAAAUGAACUACAUAUCCAGAAGGGUCCUACCAAGAGGCCAAACAGACUGUGUUCUCUUGGGGGAGUUCUCAGUGGUGAUGAGAACACCACUUUUUUUUUUUUUUUAGUCAUUUUCAAGGUGAGAUAUUGACUUGCUGCUGGAGCAGGACAACUGGUCUCUCUUUCAUUGCUAGCAGCAGAGUAAGGGUCUUGCAAGUUUCAGGCAGCAGCAGAGAAAGGGUCUUGCAAGUUUCAGUCCAAAGCAAGAAGAGCUAGGAUUGCACCAGCUGUCUCACCUACUCUGUGCUCACCUGUUUCUGGAUGAAGCACGGUGACAUCUGUUUUAUUGUAAAGAGAACCAACUUUGGAAUCAAAUGGAACCUGUAUUAAAAUCCUGAAUCCGUCACUAGCUUGGACAAGUCA